rnacentral:lncRNA from 10 species
AGUUCAAUUGCUGGUCGGUUCACUCCUGGAACCUUCACUAACCAGAUCCAGGAAACCUUCUGGGAGCCACAGCUUCUGGUGGUUAUUGAUUCCAACAAUCCAACAACGACCACCGGCCUGUCACAGAGGCAACUUAUGUUAAUCUUAUCUACCAUCGCUCUGUGCAACACAGAUUCUCCUUUGCGCUAUGGGGACAUUGCCAUCCCAUGCAACAACAAAGGAGCUUACUUACGGGUUUGAUAUGGUGGAUGCUGGUUUGGGAACUUCUGUGCAUGCAUGGCACCAUCUCCUGUGAACACUCAUGGGAGCUCAGGCCUGAUCUCUACUUUUAUAGAGAUCCUAAAGAGAUGAAAAGGAAGAGCAAGCUGUUGCUGAAAAAAAGCUGUGACCAAGGAGGAAUUUCAGGGUAAAUGGACUGCUCCAGCUCCUGAGUUCACUGCUCCUCUGCCUGAGGGUGCAGACUGAUCUGAAUGUGGCAGGUGCCCUCUGUGCCUAUUCAGCAAUUCCUUACUGAAGAUUGGAGAGCUCAGCCUGCCAUGGAAGUCUGGUCUGCAGCUCCCACUGCUCAGGCCACUUGAAUGGGUAGGAACAACCACCAAGUUGUCU